UAUAUUUAAUUUACUGAUCAUGUAGAUGUUCAUAAAAGCUCAGAUUAAAGUUGAAGGUUAUUAUAUCACAAAGAAAACUAAGGAACAGUGACUUCUUCAGUCAACUCUAUCAUUAACUGAACAUUAACCCAGUGGGUGUAACACAGUGACGUGCGUUGAGGUUUAUGGCUGGUGAGGCACUGACUUUUCUUGAGUCAGAUUUACAACUGUAAGAACUGAAAAGAGCAUCUAAUUUCACUAUUCAUCCAACAGCAUGCAACUGGUAAUGCUUCAUGUCCCAUCAGCAUUCCGCUUUCAAUUACACUUACACCAACACAAACAUAUACAC